CCGGCACACUUCCCUGCUCCAGGCUGGCAGCAAUGGUUUUUCCUGGCUUUCCUUCCACUGGAUCCAGCUAACGAGGGAGCCCACGGGGAAAAUCUCUUCCCUUCCUCUUGGAAGUACCUGCCAAGACCCAGGUUGGGGUCAUCCAGUUAUAUCAGGACUGCCUCUUUCUGCGGCAGAAGUGCAGGUUUCAUGAUAGCAGAAGGGAUCAUUGCCGUUAGUCUGAGCAGCUGGAAAAUCUCCAGAGAAAGGCAGGAAGAAGAGAACGGGACUGAACAACAGCUCUUGCCUGGCUAAUGGAAAGGGAGGCUUGGUUAUUAAGUCACAUGCUACUUUUUAUCAGGCUGUGAGAAGGGAAGCUUAGGAUAUGCUAAUCAAAUAGAAACCAAGUAGUGUGACAGGUUCAGGAAUUUGUCUGAGAAAAAUCUGAUAUGUCUUUGGAGACUUGUGAAAUAUCAUCAGUCCAAAGGAUGUUGUCCUACACAUAAAAAACAAAUGGCUCCUAAGUCUCAUGAAAAGGGCAGAUUUCAGGAAAGCAGAAGUGUUCAGAGCACUGAUUGUUUCAUAAAUGCUCCUAGUGGAAGAGUAUAGGAUGAUGUAAGUCUACUCUAUGCUGUUGCAUUUUUGAUCUUGCCAGGAGGAUAUAAUAAUGUAAGGCAUCCUUGAACCACAUCAGUAUUGCUGUGUCUUGUGGCUUCUUCCCAGAUUCAGGUCAGGAAGAUUUCUGACUGAAGGAGACUGAACCUGGACA